UGAAACACGUGCGUGAAAAAAGCGUUUUUGUUUUUUUUUUAACAUACCGUUAACCUUGUCUUUCAUGGUCAUAAAAUCAGUGUUUUUUUAGCCAUUCUUUGUAAACAGUCAUCUAAUAAUUUAAAAGAAAAAGUUUUUUUUAAAGCGUCCUUAUAUAUAUAAACAACAUAAGUUACAGAAAGACUGGAAUAGCAUGGAAAGUGUCACAACGUACAAGUAAAAUUUUGUGGUGUUUUAUAUUUUAAAAGGAGUGGAUACCAGAAAAAAGAAGAAAACCAUGUCUAGCACUCAUGUGGUAAAACAAUACGAAAUUUUCUGUCUGCAUUUUACGAUAGUUGUGCUAAUUCUAGAUACAUAUUCAGAUUAUAAGGUCGCUAUUCAAUACCUUUUGAAUGGCGAAACCACAAGUUUUAUUUCGAUAAUUUGCCUUAUGCUGAUUUCUUCUCUGAUAAAUGUUUUAAUCAGUAGACAGAUGCAACAACGAGGAGAUGAAGAAUAUUCAGUGAUCAAGUAUUCAGUACUUUCUUGGCAUUUAUAUACAUGGGUGCGUCAAUGGCUGAGUAUAAUAAAGUUAUUCGAUUCGCUCAAGAAGAUAAAUUGAAUAUUGGUGGCAUAGCAGAGAUUUUACAAUUGUUGUGGCACUUUUGCAUAACAGCGGCAAGGAUUUUAUCGCUCGGUAUCAUUGCAAGCAUCUGGCCUAUAUCUGUCAUAAUUUGUUGUAUAAUACAUUGGAUAGGUAUGACAAUAUGGAUUUGGAUUGAUCCAAAUCCAAACAAAAUAUCAGAUCAUUUUUGUCGAACUUAUGACCAUUCACAUAUGCAGCCUUCAUUUAAAAAACAUAUUUAUUCUGUAUUAUUUGCCUCAGUUUUUGGCAUUGUUUACAUUUUCAUAUACAUCAAUACUGCAGAAAGUAAUACAGUUUGGAGAUAUGUGAGCUUUUACAUUCUGUGUUUUCUGGAAAAUACCAUAUCAAAUUUAUUGUGGGCAAAUUAUUGCCCUCCUGCAAUUAGAAAUGUUUGGUAUUUUAAUAAAUUUCAUAUUAUUAGUUUUGUCUUUUUUGGUCUGGGAAUUAUAGUAAUGGUUCUGUAUUAUAAGGUCUUUCAUCCUUCUAAAAAGAAUAAUAUAAAUAGAGUCUCUCCAAAUGUACCAAAUGAAAUGAUAGAAUUAGAAACAACAAGAUUUUAACUUUAUCUAUUUCUUAUUCAAAAGAACAAAAGAAAUUAACUAUACAAAAUAUGUGA
rnacentral:misc_RNA from 1 species